rnacentral:rRNA from 1 species
GUGCCAGCAGCCGCGGUAAUUCCAGCUCCAAUAGCGUAUAUUAAAGUUGUUGUGGUUAAAAAGCUCGUAGUUGAACCUUGGGCCUGGCUGGCCGGUCCGCCUCACCGCGUGCACUGGUCCGGCCGGGCCUUUCCCUCUGUGGAACCCCAUACCCUUCACUGGGCGUGGCGGGGAAACAGGACAUUUACUUUGAAAAAAUUAGAGUGCUCCAGGCAGGCCCAUGCUCGAAUACAUUAGCAUGGAAUAAUAAAAUAGGACGCGCGGUUCUAUUUUGUUGGUUUAUAGGACCGCCGUAAUGAUUAAUAGGGACAGUCGGGGGCAUCAGUAUUCAACUGUCAGAGGUGAAAUUCUUGGAUCAGUUGAAGACUAACUACUGCGAAAGCAUUUGCCAAGGAUGUUUUCAUUAAUCAGGAACGAAAGUUAGGGGAUCGAAGACGAUCAGAUACCGUCGUAGUCUUAACCAUAAACUAUGCCGACUAGGGAUCGGACGGUGUUAUUCAUGACCCGUUCGGCACCUUACGAGAAAUCAAAGUGCUUGGGCUCCAGGGGGAGUAUGGUCGCAAGGCUGAAACUUAAAGAAAUUGACGGAAGGGCACCACCAGGGGUGGAGCCUGCGGCUUAAUUUGACUCAACACGGGGAAACUCACCAGGUCCAGACACAAUAAGGAUUGACAGAUUGAGAGCUCUUUCUUGAUUUUGUGGGUGGUGGUGCAUGGCCGUUCUUAGUUCGUGGAGUGAUUUGUCUGGCUUAAUUCCGAUACGAACGAGACUCAAAUAUUAUAAAUAGAUGCUUUUCAGGACUAUAACGUUUGAAG